rnacentral:misc_RNA from 1 species
AAGGAGCACUUCUCCGGACAUGCCCGCACAGGUGGGAAUGUUGUUCCGGCAGAGACCGUUUCGGAUGCAUACGUCAUCCGGCGGACGCUCAUGGGUGGAACGCUGACAAUCUCAUCGCAUCGUGAUCGGAGCUGUGUCUCCGGUCCGCGGUGAUAUACCGACACACUAUUGGGUCCUGAAAGAACACGCGGAAGCGAGUUUUUUCCAGGCAAGAUAACGACGAGGCUUUCUCGGCGGUCAUACCGCAGGAUGUGUUCCUGGCUGGUGCCGCAGUAGUGAGAGGGUCUUGUGUGUUGUUUGAGAACUGCACAGUGGACGCGAGCAUCUUUGUUA